GUCGGGAUGGCAGAGCGGUUAUGCAGCCGGUUGCAGACCGGUGUAGGUGGGUUCGACUCCCUCUCUCGACU
rnacentral:tRNA from 1 species